rnacentral:misc_RNA from 1 species
ACAAACUUGGUCAUUUAGAGGAAGUAAAAGUCGUAACAAGGUUUCCGUAGGUGAACCUGCGGAAGGAUCAUUAUCGAGUUUAAGGUCUUUCGAGGCCUGACCUCCAACCCUUUGUUUACCUUGACCAUUGUUGCUUCGGUGCGUCGCUGACGGCCGAGGGAGGGCGUCACAGCCUUCCGUCGGACGACGGCUCCUCACCGGUGGCCCAAUUUUCAAAACUCUGGAAUCAUGUCGUGUCCUUGUCUAAAUGUCGUGACGAGCUUCGGCUCCCACGCAACGCUUAAAAAAAACAAAACUUUCAACAACGGAUCUCUUGGUUCUGGCAUCGAUGAAGAACGCAGC